GACGAACGCUGGCGGCGCGCUUAACACAUGCAAGUCGAACGGAAAGGCCUGCUUUCCCUUGUGGAUUGCGGGUACUCGAGUGGCGAACGGGUGAGUAACACGUGAGUGAUCUGCCCCCAACUUGGGUAUAAGCCUGGGAAACUGGGUCUAAUUCCCGAUAGGACUGCAGGGUGGUGCCUGUGGUGGAAAACGAUUUUCUAGUGGUUGGGGAUGAGCUCGCGGCCUAUCAGCUUGUUGGUGGGGUAAUGGCCUACCAAGGCGGCGACGGGUAGCCGGCCUGGGAGGGGGGAGGGCCACUUUGGGAGUGGGAUACGGCCCAGACCCCUACGGGGGGGAGCGGUGGGGAAUAUUGCACAAGGGGGGGAAGCCUGAUGAAGGGACGGCGGGGGGGGGAUGGCGGCCUUCGGGUUUUAAACCCCUUUCGACCGGGAGGAAGCCACCUGGUUGGAAGGGUGGUGACGGUAGUGGUAGAAGGAGCCCCGGCUAACUACGU
rnacentral:rRNA from 1 species